rnacentral:rRNA from 1 species
UACGUAGGUGGCAAGCGUUGUCCGGAUUUACUGGGCGUAAAGAGCGCGCAGGCGGUCGUUCAAGUCGCGUGUGAAAGCCCCCGGCUCAACUGGGGAGGGUCACGCGAUACUGAUCGACUCGAAGGCAGGAGAGGGUAGUGGAAUUCCCGGUGUAGUGGUGAAAUGCGUAGAUAUCGGGAGGAACACCAGCGGCGAAGGCGGCGCUCUGGGCUGGAACUGACGCUGAGGAGCGAAAGCGUGGGGAGCGAACAGG